rnacentral:misc_RNA from 1 species
GAUGAAGAACGCAGUGAAAUGCGAUACGUAAUGUGAAUUGCAGAAUUCAGUGAAUCAUCGAGUCUUUGAACGCACAUUGCGCCCCCUGGUAUUCCGGGGGGCAUGCCUGUCCGAGCGUCAUUGCUGCCCUCAAGCACGGCUUGUGUGUUGGGCCUCCGUCCUCCUCCCGGGGGACGGGCCCGAAAGGCAGCGGCGGCACCGCGUCCGGUCCUCGAGCGUAUGGGGCUUCGUCACCCGCUCUUGUAGGCCCGGCCGGCGCUUGCCGACACAUCAAUCUUUUUUCCAGGUUGACCUCGGAUCAGGUAUGGAUACCCGCUGAACUUAAGCAUAUCAAUAAGCGGAGGA